UACGUAGGGUGCAAGCGUUGUCCGGAAUUAUUGGGCGUAAAGCGCUCGUAGGCGGUCCGUCACGUCCGCUGUGAAAACCCAGGGCUCAACCCUGGGCUUGCAGUGGAUACGGGCAGACUAGAGGUAGGUAGGGGAGAAUGGAAUUCCCGGUGUAGCGGUGAAAUGCGCAGAUAUCGGGAGGAACACCGGUGGCGAAGGCGGUUCUCUGGGCCUUACCUGACGCUGAGGAGCGAAAGCGUGGGGAGCGAACAGG
rnacentral:rRNA from 1 species